GUAAGCUACUAAGAGCGAAUGGUGGAUGCCUUGACUGGUAAAGGCGAUGAAGGACGUACUAGACUGCGAUAAGCUACGGGGAGCUGUCAAGAAGCUUUGAUCCGUAGAUUUCCGAAUGGGGCAACCCAAUGUAUAGAGAUAUACAUUACCUAUAUAGGAGCGAACGAGGGGAAUUGAAACAUCUUAGUACCCUCAGGAAAAGAAAUCAAUAGAGAUUGCGUCAGUAGCGGCGAGCGAAAGCGUAAGAGGGCAAACCCAGUGCUUGCACUGGGGGUUGUAGGACUGCAAUGUGCAAGAGGUGAGUUUAGCAGAACAUUCUGGAAAGUAUAGCCAUAGAGGGUGAUAGUCCCGUAUGCGAAAAACAAACCUUAGCUAGCAGUAUCCUGAGUAGGGCGGGACACGAGAAAUCCUGUCUGAAGCUGGGUCGACCACGAUCCAACCCUAAAUACUAAUACCAGAUCGAUAGUGCACAAGUACCGUGAGGGAAAGGUGAAAAGAACUGAGGUGAUCAGAGUGAAAUAGAACCUGAAACCAUUUGCUUACAAUCAUUCAGAGCACUAUGUAGCAAUACAGUGUGAUGGACUGCCUUUUGCAUAAUGAGCCUGCGAGUUGUGGUGUCUGGCAAGGUUAAGCAAACGCGAAGCCGUAGCGAAAGCGAGUCUGAAUAGGGCGCUUAGUCAGAUGCUGCAGACCCGAAACGAAGUGAUCUAUCCAUGAGCAAGUUGAAGCUAGUGUAAGAACUAGUGGAGGACUGAACCCAUAGGCGUUGAAAAGCCCCGGGAUGACUUGUGGAUAGGGGUGAAAGGCCAAUCAAACUUCGUGAUAGCUGGUUCUCUCCGAAAUAUAUUUAGGUAUAGCGUUGUGUCGUAAUAUAAGGGGGUAGAGCACUGAAUGGGCUAGGGCAUACACCAAUGUACCAAACCCUAUCAAACUCCGAAUACCUUAUAUGUAAUCACAGCAGUCAGGCGGCGAGUGAUAAAAUCCGUCGUCAAGAGGGAAACAACCCAGACUACCAGCUAAGGUCCCUAAAUCUUACUUAAGUGGAAAACGAUGUGAAGUUACUUAAACAACCAGGAGGUUGGCUUAGAAGCAGCCAUCCUUUAAAGAAAGCGUAAUAGCUCACUGGUCUAGUGAUUUUGCGCGGAAAAUAUAACGGGGCUAAAGUAAGUACCGAAGCUGUAGACUUGCGCACAACUUAGAUUAUUUAAGUUUAGAAUAUGAGAAACUAAGUUAUAUGUUUAGUUAUAUUUUUACUGAUUUUUAUAGAGUAAAGAUAGAAAUAAAACUUAGUAAAAUCAGUAAAAAUAUUCUUAGACUAAAGUUAAGUAGUUUAAGUUGUGUGCAAGUGGUAGGAGAGCGUUCUAUUUGCGUCGAAGGUAUACCGGUAAGGAGUGCUGGAGCGAAUAGAAGUGAGCAUGCAGGCAUGAGUAGCGAUAAUUAAUGUGAGAAUCAUUAACGCCGUAAACCCAAGGUUUCCUACGCGAUGCUCGUCAUCGUAGGGUUAGUCGGGUCCUAAGUCGAGUCCGAAAGGGGUAGACGAUGGCAAAUUGGUUAAUAUUCCAAUACCAACAUUAGUGUGCGAUGGAAGGACGCUUAGGGCUAAGGGGGCUAGCGGAUGGAAGUGCUAGUCUAAGGUCGUAGGAGGUUAUACAGGCAAAUCCGUAUAACAAUACUCCGAGAACUGAAAGGCUUUUUGAAGUCUUCGGAUGGAUAGAAGAACCCCUGAUGCCAUCGAGCCAAGAAAAGUUUCUAAGUUUAGCUAAUGUUGCCCGUACCGUAAACCGACACAGGUGGGUGGGAUGAGUAUUCUAAGGCGCGUGGAAGAACUCUCUUUAAGGAACUCUGCAAAAUAGCACCGUAUCUUCGGUAUAAGGUGUGGUUCGCUUCGUAUUAGGAUUUACUCCGAAAGCGAAGAAACUUACAACAAAGAGUCCCUCCCGACUGUUUACCAAAAACACAGCACUCUGCUAACUCGUAAGAGGAUGUAUAGGGUGUGACGCCUGCCCGGUGCUCGAAGGUUAAUUGAUGGGGUUAGCAUUAGCGAAGCUCUUGAUCGAAGCCCGAGUAAACGGCGGCCGUAACUAUAACGGUCCUAAGGUAGCGAAAUUCCUUGUCGGUUAAAUACCGACCUGCAUGAAUGGCGUAACGAGAUGGGAGCUGUCUCAAAGAGGGAUCCAGUGAAAUUGUAGUGGAGGUGAAAAUUCCUCCUACCCGCGGCAAGACGGAAAGACCCCGUGGACCUUUACUACAGCUUGACACUGCUAUUUGGAUAAGAAUGUGCAGGAUAGGUGGGAGGCUUUGAGUAUAUGACGCCAGUUGUAUAUGAGCCAUUGUUGAGAUACCACUCUUUCUUAUUUGGGUAGCUAACCAGCUUGAGUUAUCCUCAAGUGGGACAAUGUCUGGUGGGUAGUUUGACUGGGGCGGUCGCCUCCCAAAUAAUAACGGAGGCUUACAAAGGUUGGCUCAGAACGGUUGGAAAUCGUUCGUAGAGUAUAAAGGUAUAAGCCAGCUUAACUGCAAGACAUACAAGUCAAGCAGAGACGAAAGUCGGUCUUAGUGAUCCGGUGGUUCUGUGUGGAAGGGCCAUCGCUCAAAGGAUAAAAGGUACCCCGGGGAUAACAGGCUGAUCUCCCCCAAGAGCUCACAUCGACGGGGAGGUUUGGCACCUCGAUGUCGGCUCAUCGCAUCCUGGGGCUGGAGCAGGUCCCAAGGGU
rnacentral:rRNA from 1 species